rnacentral:tRNA from 1 species
CAAAGAAUAGUUUAAUAUUAGAAUCCUAGCUUUGGGUGUUAGGGGUAGAGGUUAAAAUCCUUUUUCUUUGA